rnacentral:rRNA from 1 species
AUUGAACGCUGGCGGCAGGCCUAACACAUGCAAGUCGAGCGGAUGACGGGAGCUUGCUCCUUGAUUCAGCGGCGGACGGGUGAGUAAUGCCUAGGAAUCUACCUGGUAGUGGGGGACAACGUUUCGAAAGGAACGCUAAUACCGCAUACGUCCUACGGGAGAAAGCAGGGGACCUUCGGGCCUUGCGCUAUCAGAUGAGCCUAGGUCGGAUUAGCUUGUUGGUGAGGUAAUGGCUCACCAAGGCGACGAUCCGUAACUGGUCUGAGAGGAUGAUCAGUCACACUGGAACUGAGACACGGUCCAGACUCCUACGGGAGGCAGCAGUGGGGAAUAUUGGACAAUGGGCGAAAGCCUGAUCCAGCCAUGCCGCGUGUGUGAAGAAGGUCUUCGGAUUGUAAAGCACUUUAAGUUGGGAGGAAGGGUUGUAGAUUAAUACUCUGCAAUUUUGACGUUACCGACAGAAUAAGCACCGGCUAACUCUGUG